GCCCGUUUCCUCCUGGAAGCUGCUUUGCCUUCCCCCAGGAGGAAGACACCGCCACUCCUCACGGAUUCUCCUCCCUGGCCCUUCCAAGUCCGGCUGCGAACACCGGGGCUCUCCUAACGGGAUGCCUUCAGUUUGGGGCCAUCUGUGGGGGCUUGGCUGGAAGCCCAGGGAUGCGGUCAUAAGGGAAGCACAUGCAAGUUUGUCACCGUUUAGGGCACUCUCUGAAUGUGUGGAGAGAGGCGGAGGGGAGCGAGAGAAAAACCUAGAGAGAAAAGGGGGGUCCACUGGGGGAGGCUGUGGAAAAAAUCGCCGUGCUGGGAUGGAGGAUGCGAUGUGCCCAAUGCAGAGUAUGGGAUCAUCCCCUUCAAGUAUUGUUACCACAGAAAUCUUUUCUUGAGAAAUUUCUUCAUAAGCCCAGGACAAAGCAGUUCACACACAAGGCCUCAGAGAAAAAAUGACCAACACAGUGCCCUCAGCAGAACCUGGAAGAAAAUUCCUCCUUGCCCUAGAAGUGACCUUGACUUGCAUGCUCCCUGUCAUGGCUAUCCAAAGAACUUUCUUUUCCUGCUCUCAACCUCAUCUUUAAUCCUGCUGGUUUUCAUUUAUUUUCUAAUUCAAUCAUAAUGAAUUUUAAAAUCCAUUCUAACUUCCAAGAACCUCUGGAGACUUGCUUCAUCAGUCUGACAUCACGUUCAUUUACAUUUCUUAUUUUUUCAUUUCCCUGUAUGAGGCCUAAGAAUUAUUCCAAUAAAACACUUUAAA